GCUUGAUGCAGUCUAGCUGGCAGUACUUUCCCACUGUUCCUGUCUUCUCUCCUCGUCUGUCCUCUCGCUUCGGAGCAGACCAUAGGUGUAAAGCGAAAGCAAAGCGGUCGGACCCUUCCGGCUCCUCCCUCGAGGCCAGCCGUUCUGCUGGGCUUUCUUACCGUCCUCGCAGCUCUGUCUGGGCAUGUGCCAAGACCACCCCGUCCCAGGUUGCAUGCUGCCCUUUUCAAAAUCAAGCUAUCAGAAGAUGCCCUUCAGCAGAAGUGUUAAGAGGACUUGGGCUUUACAUAGCACCGUGUCUUUGCUCUGAACAGGAGGAUAGCACCUCCUGCGCGCCUGCACCACGGGAGGCCGGGACAGCGCCCUGGGAUUGCCAGUUAAAUAUUAUGGAAAAUGUUCAAGAUCUCAGGGAUUCUCAAGCCAUGGAGAAUGCUUUCCAUCCUGCUGCAAAUGAUAAUUCCAGCGGUAUUUAAUCGGGUGACUUUGAAGAGCAUAGGAGGAAGGGACUCGGACACCAUCGUAGAGCUGAUGCUCCUCCAGGUUGUUAAUGCAGAUCAGCAACACUGGCAUUCAUUUUUCAGAGGAGAACGUGCCCAAAGCCUUACCUCCUAAAGCAAGCACUGCAGCAGGUCUCUGAAGUUGUAGAGCACUCCGUUGGAUGAUACCUCUCUUAACAACACAAGCAGCUCUGCUCCCCGUGUUUCCUUCAUUGCAUGUGCCUCCGUUUUGUAUUUUCAAGGCUGGGAGAGGCUAUCCUACCUAAGGUAAGGGUUCCUCCUCCUUCUAUGAGAGAGGCUUAAUGGGGGUGUGCUUCCCUCAUCUCGCUACUCUACAGUGCAGAACAAAUGCGUAUUUAUUAAUAUACUCUCUGUUUCUAAAUUUGCUGCGGUUCUUCAUUUUCCCAGCCCUUUCCUGGUAGAUAGCUUCACCCUGAAUGACUAUAUGAAAGUCACUCUGCUGAAUUCCGGCGAGUGUUAUAUGAUUAUUUUAUCUCUCGCUAUAAAGCGUUUCGAAAGACUUUGUAUGAGAGGCAAUAUAAAAAUAAAUUGAAUUGAACUAUGGCUUCA
rnacentral:lncRNA from 1 species